CUUGAAGCCUUCUUUGGUGUUGGUUGUGCUCCACCGUCGUCCCACAGGAAUCUGAUGGCAAAAAUAUGGCAUACUCUUCCAGAAGCUGGAGAGCAGUUUUCUUCACUCUGUUGGAGUUGGUGUCUGUCUGGAGGAGCUGGAUGAGUUGGGGAUAUCAGGGAUAUGCUGAGUGAGGCUGAGACCUUCUACCAUUUCAGGUGAUUCCUUUCACAUGUGGAAACAUGUUGGCUCUCAUGUUGGUGUACAGUGCUGCCAUCAGCUUUGGGAUAUCAGCAUAAAGCUCACAUAUCCAAGGACAUCUGGCUUGCUGGGAGUGGAGGAAGAUGUUUGUUUUUAUGGA